UUUUUGUUAAUAAUUUAAAGUCUAAUCUGCCCACUGAUUUUUAAUUAAAGGGCUGCAGUAUUUUGACUGUACAAAGGUAGCAUAAUCAAUAGUCUCUUAAUUGGUGACUUGAAUGAAAGAUUUGAUGAAAUAUAAACUGUCUCUAUUAAAUUUAUAAAAUUUAAUUUUUUAGUUAAAAAGCUAAAAUUUUUUUAAAAGACGAGAAGACCCUAUAGAGUUUUAUAAUUUAUUUAUUUAUAAUUUUGUUUAAAUAUUAAAGUUAUAAGUAAAUAAAUUAUUUUAUUGGGGUGAUAGAAAAAUUUAAUAAACUUUUUUUUAAAUUUUUACAUUAAUUUAUGAAUAUAUGAUCCGUAAUUUACGAUUAAAAGAUUAAAUUACCUUAGGGAUAACAGCGUAAUUUUUUUUUUUAGUUCAAAUAAGAAAAAGAGUUUGCGACCUCGAUGUUGGAUUAAGAUAAAAUUUAAAAUGCAAAAGUUUAAAAUUUUUGAUCUGUUCGAUCAUUAAAAUCUUACA
rnacentral:rRNA from 1 species